rnacentral:sRNA from 1 species
UGUCAGGUUCAGUGUGGGCUCCCUCAGGCGAUGUGUUGCCAGAUCGAUACUGCAUCCACGAUCGCGUGCACCGCGCCAGCAGAUGGUACAUACAUAUAAUAUUUAGCUACCUGCACACUCUACGACGUACGACCUCUAUUCGCCGAGACCCUCUCUGGCCACAAGCUGAUAUGCCUCGAUCUCCUCCUCUUAGCAGGUUGCCCCCUUCGGAUGCCAGAAAUACCUCUGGCGUGACCGUGGCCACCAUCGCUUACCUGGAGGGUGACGCAUCCUUCUAAUCCAGGAACCUGACCGGUUGACAACGCGAACUCUCGGCUCCUGCGCCCCUGAUUCCAAUCGCGUGAGGCUGUGUCAUUUGGCCUGGGCGACAUUUGGGUCCAGGCACUGCCAUGGCAAUCUGCCUUGCGUCCCACGCUGCUUUCUCCGCCUUUCCAGUCCGCUCUCCAUCGGCACCUCCUCCCCAUCCUCUCGGGAGGUUCAAGGGAUGUCUUCUUGGCUCAACUGACGAAACCACUGGCUGCUACUGACAUGCUACUGGCCAUAGCCAUGAUGCCACUGCUGUGUCGCUAAGUCGACAAUGUGGUGUCCCGUCCGUUGCAGCAUGGACAAGUGAUCAACGGCUCACGCGCACGGAAAAUAGCAAAAGAGCAACCCCCCAUUCACACGCCAUCGAAUCAAACGCUGGGCUUAGAGACGCAGGACUAAUGUACCCUUGGAUUUGCCUCGAGCCGAGUCGUACCACCACAGUCCUAUCAGACAGCAGGACAGAAGCGAACCCUUUGCAAGAUCCCAACCUAACAAGUCAUCGUCAUCCUUCGACCUGGCCAUCGACAACAAGUACUUUGACUAUGACAAUCAAGAGAGGAGCUACGCGGGCUACUAGACUCUAGAUUUUGUUGUUGUUACAUACAUAU